UACGUAGGGGGCAAGCGUUGUCCGGAUUUAUUGGGCGUAAAGAGCGUGUAGGCGGCCUUACAGGUCAGCUGUGAAAACUCGAGGCUCAACCUCGAGACGUCGGUUGAAACCGUAUGGCUAGAGUCCGGAAGAGGAGAGUGGAAUUCCCGGUGUAGCGGUGAAAUGCGCAGAUAUCGGGAAGAACACCCGUGGCGAAGGCGGCUCACUGGCUCGUAUCUGACACUCAAGCGCGACAGCGUGGGGAUCAAACAGG
rnacentral:rRNA from 1 species